rnacentral:tRNA from 2 species
GGGACGUUAGCUCAGGUGGUAGAGCAACAGCCUUUUAAGCUGAUGGUCGAAGGUUCGAGUCCUUCACGUCCCA